rnacentral:rRNA from 1 species
CUUAGCGGCGGACGGGUGAGUAAUGCUUAGGAAUCUGCCUAUUAGUGGGGGACAAUCUUUCGAAAGGAAUGCUAAUACCGCAUACGUCCUACGGGAGAAAGCAGGGGAUCUUCGGACCUUGCGCUAAUAGAUGAGCCUAAGUCGGAUUAGCUAGUUGGUGGGGUAAAGGCCUACCAAGGCGACGAUCUGUAGCGGGUCUGAGAGGAUGAUCCGCCACACUGGGACUGACCCAGACUCCUACGGGAGGCAGCAGUGGGGAAUAUUGGACAAUGGGCGCAAGCCUGAUCCGACACGGAGCCAUGCCGCGUGUGUGAAGAAGGCCUUAUGGUUGUAAAGCACUUUAAGCGAGGAGGAGGCUACUAGUUAAUACCUAGAUAGUGGACGUUACUCGCAGAAUAAGCACCGGCUAACUCUGUGCCAGCAGCCGCGGUAAUACAGAGGGUGCAAGCGUUAAUCGGAUUUACUGGGCGUAAAGCGCGCGUAGGCGGCUAAUUAAGUCAAAUGUGAAAUCCCCGAGCUUAACUUGGGAAUUGCAUUCGAUACUGGUUAGCUAGAGUGUGGGAGAGGAUGGUAGAAUUCCAGGUGUAGCGGUGAAAUGCGUAGAGAUCUGGAGGAAUACCGAUGGCGAAGGCAGCCAUCUGGCCUAACACUGACGCUGAGGUGCGAAAGCAUGGGGAGCAAACAGGAUUAGAUACCCUGGUAGUCCAUGCCGUAAACGAUGUCUACUAGCCGUUGGGGCCUUUGAGGCUUUAGUGGCGCAGCUAACGCGAUAAGUAGACCGCCUGGGGAGUACGGUCGCAAGACUAAAACUCAAAUGAAUUGACGGGGGCCCGCACAAGCGGUGGAGCAUGUGGUUUAAUUCGAUGCAACGCGAAGAACCUUACCUGGCCUUGACAUAGUAAGAACUUUCCAGAGAUGGAUUGGUGCCUUCGGGAACUUACAUACAGGUGCUGCAUGGCUGUCGUCAGCUCGUGUCGUGAGAUGUUGGGUUAAGUCCCGCAACGAGCGCAACCCUUUUCCUUAUUUGCCAGCGAGUAAUGUCGGGAACUUUAAGGAUACUGCCAGUGACAAACUGGAGGAAGGCGGGGACGACGUCAAGUCAUCAUGGCCCUUACGGCCAGGGCUACACACGUGCUACAAUGGUCGGUACAAAGGGUUGCUACCUAGCGAUAGGAUGCUAAUCUCAAAAAGCCGAUCGUAGUCCGGAUUGGAGUCUGCAACUCGACUCCAUGAAGUCGGAAUCGCUAGUAAUCGCGGAUCAGAAUGCCGCGGUGAAUACGUUCCCGGGCCUUGUACACACCGCCCGUCACACCAUGGGAGUUUGUUGCACCAGAAGUAGGUAGCUAACCGCAA